UACGUAGGGUGCGAGCGUUAAUCGGAAUUACUGGGCGUAAAGGGUGCGCAGGCGGUUAUAUAAGACAGAUGUGAAAUCCCCGGGCUCAACCUGGGAACUGCGUUUGUGACUGUAUGACUAGAGUACGGUAGAGAGGGGUGGAAUUCCUGGUGUAGCAGUGAAAUGCGUAGAUAUCAGGAGGAACAUCGAUGGCGAAGGCAGCCCCUUGGACCUGUACUGACGCUCAGGCACGAAAGCAUGGGGAGCAAAAGGG
rnacentral:rRNA from 1 species